AACGCACAUUGCGCCCCCUGGUAUUCCGGGGGGCAUGCCCGUUCGAGCGUCAUCAAUACCAACUCAAGCGACUCGUUUUUCUUGCGAAAUCGCUUGGUCAUGGGACCGGGGCCGCCGCCUUCAGGGGUGGAGGCCCCGCUCCCCAAUUUCAUGGAGCGGAGCCCGGUGUUUGGGCGUCGGAAGUAAUAAGCACAUUUCCUCCGACGCUUUCCAGCCGAAUGACUCCUGCCCGCAAAAGCUCCCAAUUGUCUUCAAGGCAUGACCUCGGACGGGUAGGGAUACCCGCUGAACUUAA
rnacentral:misc_RNA from 1 species